rnacentral:snoRNA from 1 species
AGACCGUGGUGUGUACAGCAUCUCAACAAGUCCUUGUACCUCUCCAAAGCAUCGUACAGGCUCUCGUCUUCCAUCUACACAAAAGAAGAGAUGUCAUUCCUUAAUUU